UUGGGACCACUAUAGAGAAAGCUCUUUCCUGGUUGCACACAUAAGGACAGCAGCACCCAGCAAAGAACCUUUGAAGACACUCUUGGCCAUCGGGCAAGAACAUAGCGGUUUCUCUGUUCUUUUGACAGGGUGCAAAAGGGGAAAAGGGUGCACUGGGAUUUCCAGGAAUGCCUGGCCGUCUUGGGGAUCCUGGGAGGAAUGGAAAGGAUGGCAUACCUGGAAGCCCAGGUUUUAAGGGAGAAGCUGGACAACCAGGUUCUGCAGGACCAGAAGGAAGACGAGGUGACCCUGGAAUUCCUGGGAUCCCUGGAGUUCAAGGAAUAAAAGGAGACAAGGUACUUAUAAGGAUGUAUGAUUAG
rnacentral:lncRNA from 1 species